ACUGUAGCGCAAUGGUUAACGCGUUCGACAUCUCAUCCAGGGUGGUGGGUUCGAAUCCCACCUGAAAUG